UCAAGUUCAAAUAUCACUAAAGUCACAAUCUCGAAUAAUGAUAAUCUUAAGCUCAAAUACCACUUAAGUCAUAUUCUCUAGUGAUCAUAACCUAAACUUUAUAUCAUUCUAUCAGGUCCUUAAUGAUCAUAAUCUUAAGCUCUGAUGUUAUCCAUUAUACUCCACUCGGUCACAUCCUAUUGAUCAUACAUAAAAUUUUGAUAUCACUUUAUAAUCUCAAUGAUCUUAAACCUAAGCUCUGAUAUUAUUCUAUCAUAUCAUAAUCAUUUAUAUUAUUUAUAUCAUAAUCUCCAAAGAUUAUAACCUAAGCUCUGAUACCAUAAAAUGUCACGCCCCAAAUCCAAAAGCAAGUACUAACCCGAAUCUCAACAUUCAUAAAUAACUACAAAUUCAUGAUUAUAAAAUAAAUUAAACUUCUGUUGUCAAAUUUUUCAGCUUGCUAUGUCGAUCUUCAAGCUUGGAUUUCUUUUGCCGAUCAUAACCUUAUUUCUUUGUUCAAACAAAAAGAAAACAAAAAGAAUAUGAGCUACACUAGUCCAGUAAGUAGAACUUGUGCUUCCUUAUCGGAUCAAGCAUAAGUUUUUCAUGAUAAUACAAUAUUUAGAAAAUAACAGAUAAUACAAAAUAAAGUAUUUCAUAGAGCAUAUA
rnacentral:lncRNA from 1 species